rnacentral:rRNA from 1 species
GACGAACGCUGGCGGCGUGCUUAACACAUGCAAGUCGAACGGAAAGGCCCUGCUUGUGUGGGGUGCUCGAGUGGCGAACGGGUGAGUAACACGUGAGUAACCUGCCCUUGACUUUGGGAUAACUUCAGGAAACUGGGGCUAAUAACGGAUAGGAGCUCCUGCUGCAUGGAGGGGGGUGGAAAGUUUCGGCGGUUGGGGAUGGACUCGCGGCUUAUCAGCUUGUUGGUGGGGUAGUGGCUUACCAAGGCUUUGACGGGUAGCCGGCCUGAGAGGGUGACCGGCCACCUUGGGACUGAGAUACGGCCCAGACUCCUACGGGAGGCAGCAGUGGGGAAUAUUGCACAAUGGGCGGAAGCCUGAUGCGGCAACGCCGCGUGCGGGAUGACGGCCUUCGGGUUGUAAACCGCUUUCGCCUGUGACGAAGCGUGAGUGACGGUAAUGGGUAAAGAAGCACCGGCUAACUACGUG